AAUUAGAUCAAGUCCUACCCUAAAGGCAACAGAUCCCAUUUGUUCCUGGAAGCAAAGUAUGGUGAGCCCUGGUUACUACUUGAUGAGAGAUCACCAAGGAAUACCAGGUGUUGUAGGUC
rnacentral:rRNA from 1 species